GAUGAACGCUGACAGAAUGCUUAACACAUGCAAGUCUACUUGAAACACUUUCGGGUGUGGAUGGUGGCGGACGGGUGAGUAACGCGUAAAGAACUUGCCCCUUAGCCUGGGACAACUGUUGGAAACGACAGCUAAUACUGGAUAUUAUGAGACUCUGGCAUCAGAGACUUAUGAAAGCUAUAUGCGCUAAGGGAGAGCUUUGCGUCCUAUUAGCUAGUUGGUGAGGUAAUGGCUCACCAAGGCGACGAUAGGUAGCCGGCCUGAGAGGGUGAACGGCCACAAGGGGACUGAGACACGGCCCUUACUCCUACGGGAGGCAGCAGUGGGGAAUAUUGGACAAUGGACCAAAAGUCUGAUCCAGCAAUUCUGUGUGCUUGAUGAAGGCCUUCGGGUUGUAAAGAGCUUUAAGUAGGGAAGAAGAAAGUGACGGUACCUACAGAAUAAGCGACGGCUAAAUACGUGCCAGCAGCCGCGGUAA
rnacentral:rRNA from 1 species